rnacentral:rRNA from 1 species
AUUGAACGCUGGCGGCAGGCCUAACACAUGCAAGUCGAGCGGAUGAAGGGAGCUUGCUCCUGGAUUCAGCGGCGGACGGGUGAGUAAUGCCUAGGAAUCUGCCUGGUAGUGGGGGAUAACGUCCGGAAACGGGCGCUAAUACCGCAUACGUCCUGAGGGAGAAAGUGGGGGAUCUUCGGACAUCACGCUAUCAGAUGAGCCUAGGUCGGAUUAGCUAGUUGGUGGGGUAAAGGCCUACCAAGGCGACGAUCCGUAACUGGUCUGAGAGGAUGAUCAGUCACACUGGAACUGAGACACGGUCCAGACUCCUACGGGAGGCAGCAGUGGGGAAUAUUGGACAAUGGGCGAAAGCCUGAUCCAGCCACGCCGCGUGUGUGAAGAAGGUCUUCGGAUUGUAAAGCACUUUAAGUUGGGAGGAAGGGCAGUAAGUUAAUACCUUGCUGUUUUGACGUUACCAACAGAAUAAGCCCCGGCUAACUUCGUG